UUGUGGUGUGAUGAGCAAUUUACCAUGGCCACUCUUUUUUGUUUUAAAUCGCUUCAAUUUCAAAUUUCUCGUUUUGUUGUGCAUUGUGAUGUAUGGUUGGUUUUCUUAAGAGUUUUUAUAAUAUUUUUGUGAGAUUGCAAUUCAAAUGCUAUCUUUGUUGCGUAAUAUACUAUUUUCAUACUUUUUCGCCGAUAGGGGAAUGCAAGCCUUCCCAACUUUAGUUAUUUUUCCCCCUCUAGAGUUGCUAAUCUGUGGUUAUAAUUAGGAUUAAUGUUUGCUUUCUUCCUAAAGUUAGUGUGGAAUUAUGUAAGUUGACACCUUGUUAAAGAAUGUGAGCUAUUUUCUUGUGAUAUAUUUGACAAAAUUAUAUUGUAUAAAAAUUGUAAUACUGUAGAUAGUGCUUCUUUGCACAAUAGUAAGCAUCUUCAUCAUCCGUGUUUUCCCCUAUCCCUCAGCACUUAUCAUAAGGUGCAAUUUCUGGUUAUAAAUGCCUCUCUUUAUUUGCUCUUUACAAUGCCUGGUUCUUUUACCCUUCACAAAAGAUUCUGUUCUAGAGUAGCAUCAUUUGGGUAUUAAGCUUUAAACAUCAAAUAUAA
rnacentral:misc_RNA from 1 species